UUUAUAUCAGAUUGCAUUUCAUCUUUGUAUUAUUCCUCGCGUUGAAAGCUAGCUUAUUGUUACUUGUAAAUCAUUUUAAUGGUACGGUACUACAGACGAUAGCUAACUCACGCUCUUAUAGUUUAUUGAAUGCUAAUUUCCAUUUUAAUGGUUAGGGUCAUGAGAUCAUUCGCCAGUGACAUCAACCGAAUGCAGUUUGUAAACCAGAAUCCAAAUGAAUCAAAAGUUUUACUUGCAAAUGACGAAUGUCGUCCUAUAUUAGCCGGUUGUAGCCCACGUGUAAACUUAACGGAUUUUAACCGUAUGAAUAAUUUAAAACAGGAAAAUUUUUUAUAAAAAAAGAGAAAAAAAGAACAACAUUAUUGAUUUGUUAAUGGAAGUUUAAGUGAACCGAAGCAAAGCGCAAUUAGAGCAUUUGAUUACGAUCGUGUAUCCUACAGUACCUUGGCUUCGGAUAACAAAUUGAUACUUUUAUUCGGGAUGACGUUAGAAUAUUCGCAAU
rnacentral:lncRNA from 1 species